rnacentral:rRNA from 1 species
GACGAACGCUGGCGGCGUGCCUAAUACAUGCAAGUCGAACGGUCUUUUCUAUGGAAGCUUGCUUCCACUGAGAAGAUGGUGGCGAACGGGUGGGUAACACGUGGGUAACCUGCCCAUCAGAGGGGGAUAACAUCCGGAAACGGGUGCUAAUACAGCAUAGGUUCCUUGAUCGCAUGAUCGAGAAAGGAAAGACGGCCUUUGUGCUGUCGCUCAUGGAUGGCCCCGCGGCGUAUUAGUUAGUAGGUGAGGUAACGGCUCACCAAGACGAUGAUACGUAGCCGACCUGAGAGGGUGAUCGGCCACAUUGGGACUGAGACACGGCCCAAACUCCUACGGGAGGCAGCAGUAGGGAAUCUUCCGCAAUGGACGAAAGUCUGACGGAGCAACGCCGCGUGAGUGAAGAAGGUUUUCGGAUCGUAAAACUCUGUUGUCAGAGAAGAACAAGUCGGAGAGUAACUGCUCCGGCCUUGACGGUAUCUGACCAAAAAGCCACGGCUAACUACGUGCCAGCCGCCGCAGUAAUAC